rnacentral:rRNA from 1 species
AUUGAACGCUGGCGGCAGGCCUAACACAUGCAAGUCGAACGAGUGGCGGACGGGUGAGUAAUGUCUGGGACACUGCCUGAUGGAGGGGGAUCACUACUGGAAACGGUAGCUAAUACCGUAUACCAUCGGCUGCGCCCAGAUGGGAUUAGCUAGUAGGUGGGGUAAAGGCUCACCUAGGCGACGAUCCCUAGCUGGUCUGAGAGGAUGACCAGCCACACUGGAACUGAGACACGGUCCAGACUCCUACGGGAGGCAGCAGUGGGGAAUAUUGCACAAUGGGCGCAAGCCUGAUGCAGCCAUGCCGCGUGUAUGAAGAAGGCCUUCGGGUUGUAAAGUACUUUCAGCGGGGAGGCGUUACCCACAGAAGAAGCACCGGCUAACUCCGUGCCAGCAGCCGCGGUAAUUC